GGGGCGGCCUUGCCGGUGCCGGGACUACGAAUCCCAAAAGCCCCGCGCGGCGCAAGUCUUCCGGUCUGGCGUCUGACGUCUUACCCUCCACAGAAUCGGAAGUUCUGGACUGCAGUUGAGUGGAAAUGGGCAACGGCGGGCGGAGCGGCCUGCAGCAGGGGAAGGGGAACGUGGGUGGGGUGGCAGCGACUCCUACUGCUGCCUCGGCCUCCUGCCAGUACAGGUGCAUCGAAUGCAACCAGGAGGCCAAAGAGUUGUACCGAGACUAUAACCACGGUGUGCUGAAGAUAACCAUCUGUGUGAGUUGUCAGAUGUGGGGUGCCCUUGAGAAGAAAAUGGCGCGGUGGGAUUUGGGGACCGCGAGGAGCAGGGUCCUCUGAUACAGUCUUUAGUUCGGUAGUUGACAUUCCCGCCCGGGAUCUUUGCAUGAAUAUCUGUACUGAUAGAGAACUCAGCUACCCGACAGCGCUUUUCUCAUACUGGGGCAUAUUUGGGUGAUAUGACCUAAGCCGGCGAACGGACCGGACCGACAGACAGAGAAAUCCUGCCAGAAACCUGUAGACAAAUAUAUCGAGUAUGAUCCUGUUAUCAUCUUGAUUAAUGCUAUAUUGUGCAAAGCUCAGGCCUACAGACAUAUUCUUUUCAAUACUCAAAUAAAUAUCCAUGGAAAACUCUGCAUAUUUUGUUUGCUUUGUGAAGCAUACCUGAGGUGGUGGCAGCUUCAAGAUUCCAACCAGAAUACUGCCCCUGACGACUUAAUCAGAUAUGCUAAGGAAUGGGAUUUCUAUAGAAUGUUUGCGAUUGCUGCUUUAGAACAAACUGCCUAUUUUAUUGGCAUUUUUACCUUCCUGUGGGUAGAACGGCCCAUGACGGCGAAAAAAAAGCCCAACUUCAUUUUGCUGCUGAAAGCAUUAUUAUUAUCUAGCUAUGGAAAACUCUUGCUGAUUCCAGCUGUCAUUUGGGAACAUGACUACACAUCUGUGUGCCUCAAACUCAUUAAAGUAUUUGUUCUUACAUCAAAUUUUCAGGCAAUUAGAGUGACCCUAAACAUCAACCGUAAGCUCUCCUUCUU
rnacentral:sRNA from 1 species